rnacentral:rRNA from 1 species
UCUUCGCGGCAGCAUGCUUCGUCGAGAGGCUAUUCUCUCACCCCAUUUUAUACGUACCUCUUGUUCUUCCUCGGCAGGGUAACCUGCCGAUGGAACCUCAUCACACCCUUUUGCAUCCAGCAUUACCCGUUCUGAUAACCUAAAUCGUUGCAACUUUUAACAAUGGAUCUCUUGGCUCUGGCAUCGAUGAAGAACGCAGCGAAAUGCGAUAAGUAGUGUGAAUUGCAGAAUUCAGUGAAUCAUCGAAUCUUUGAACGCACCUUGCGCCCUCUGGUAUUCCGGAGGGCAUGCCUGUUUGAGUGUCAUGAACACCUCACCCCCUCGGGUUUCCGAUCGGGUGGAUUUGGGUGCUGCCAGUUACAUGGCUCGCCCUAAAUGUAUUAGCGGUUGUUGACGUAAUAAGUUUCGUCUUGUCGACCGCUUCUAAUCUCCUUCGGGAUGUCUUCGGACACUUCAUGAUCUGACCUCAAAUCAGGUAGGACUACCCGCUGAACUUAAGCAUAUCAAUAAGCGGAGGAA